rnacentral:lncRNA from 1 species
GCAUACAAUGUGGGAAGACGGUGAAGUUAAACACUAUAAAUAAUAUUAAAAUAAAAUAACAUAAAAAAAAUAUAAAGAAACAAACAAAUAAACAAAGAAAUGAAGUAACUAAAACUUUAUUAAAACAAACUCAUGCAUGAAAAUAUACAGAUGGAAACACAUAUGAACAAAACAAACUUACACGGUGAAGAAGCAAAAAGAUGAAUAGUAUUUACACAGGUGGGAGAUAGCAUGCAAGAGCUUACUUCUCUCUGACUACGGAACUCUGAAAGCACACUGGAUUUUUGUACAAGACUCAAAAACACACAAAGGAUGGGACUGUACAAGGACUCAAGAAAAGGAUAUAUACAAUGGUACAAGACAGGAGGAAGAAGAACAAUUUAGAAGAAUACUCUCUCUCUCACUUGUAACUUCUACCUGAUACAUGAUCUUCAAUAAGCUCUUAAAGGAAGCCACUGGCUUUAGAAUUACUCGUGAAGCUCUAUUAAGACAUAUGUCAAGGCUUACCAAGGCUUGUUCUUCAAUACUGGCAUCUGGGGUCUUCUAAUAGAAGCUAAGGGUGAGCAUCUUGCUUGGUGGUGAAGUCAUCUGGCUUGGAGAUGAAGUAACUUGGAGCUAAAAUAAUGAAUAACUUUUGUUGGAGAAGCAUCUUGCUUGCUGACAAAGUAAAGCAACUUUCUUGAUGGUGAAGCAACUUUAUCGGUGGAGUAACUUUUGAAGUAACUUAUUGAUAAAGCAUCUUUUGCUGGUGAUGUGACUAAUUUGUUGGUAGUGAGGUGAAGAAAUAACUUUUCUGGAGAACCAUCUGGCUAGUUAUCUUGUUGGUGCAGUAUUUUGUUGGUGGAGCAUCUAUCCAUUAUCGGUGGAGCAAUGACUUAUCGGUGAAGAAACAAAUUUUGCUGGGGGAGCAUCUGGCUAGUCAUCUUAUCGAUCGGUGAAGUUUUUUAUAGGUGGAGCAUCUGUUGGUUGUUUUUGUAAUUGAUUUGGAGAAGGAUUAGCGUAGUCUUUUUUUCUUCUCAAGAUCGGAAGAAGGAUUAGCGUAGUUUUCUUUUCCCUUCUUCUUUGGUGCUUAUUUCUAUAGGAUUUCUUCUUCAGUAUUUGAUUGUGGGGUUGCACCAUUAGAAGAAGAUUCUUCUUCUUCAAUCUGGGCAAGUGAUUCAAGA